CGGGGUGGAGUAAUGUCUGGGAAACUGCCUGAUGGAGGGGGGUAACUACUGGAAACGGUAGCUAAUACCGCAUAACGUCGCAAGACCAAAGAGGGGGACCUUCGGGCCUCUUGCCAUCGGAUGUGCCCAGAUGAGAUUAGCUAGUAGGUGGGGUAACGGCUCACCUAGGCGACGAUCCCUAGCUGGUCUGAGAGGAUGACCAGCCACACUGGAACUGAGACACGGUCCAG
rnacentral:rRNA from 1 species